GAUUUACUCUUACGGGAGGCAGGCAGGGGGGGGAAAUAUUGCACAAUGGGCGCAAGCCUGAUGCAGCAACGCCGCUUGAGGGACAACGGCCUUCGGGGUGUAAACCUCUUUUAGCAGGGAAGAAGCGAAAGUGACGGUACCUGCAGAAAAAGCGCCGGCUAACUACGUGCCAGCAGCCGCGGUAAUACGUAGGGCGCAAGCGUUAUCCGGAAUUAUUGGGCGUAAAGAGCUCGUAGGCGGUUUGUCGCGUCUGCUGUGAAAUCCGGAGGCUCAACCUCCGGCCUGCAGUGGGUACGGGCAGACUAGAGUGCGGUAGGGGAGAUUGGAAUUCCUGGUGUAGCGGUGGAAUGCGCAGAUAUCAGGAGGAACACCGAUGGCGAAGGCAGAUCUCUGGGCCGUAACUGACGCUGAGGAGCGAAAGGGUGGGGAGCAAACAGGCUUAGAUACCCUGGUAGUCCACCCCGUAAACGUUGGGAACUAGUUGUGGGGUCCAUUCCACGGAUUCCGUGACGCAGCUAACGCAUUAAGUUCCCCGCCUGGGGAGUACGGCCGCAAGGCUAAAACUCAAAGGAAUUGACGGGGACCCGCACAAGCGGCGGAGCAUGCGGAUUAGUUCGAUGCAACGCGAAGAACCUUACCAAGGCUUGACAUAUACGAGAACGGGCCAGAAAUGUGUCAAUCUU
rnacentral:rRNA from 1 species